AGCCUGCCCAGUGACAAAGUUAAACGGCCGCGGUACCCUAACCGUGCAAAGGUAGCGCAAUCACUUGUUCUUUAAAUGAGGACUUGUAUGAACGGCAUCACGAGGGUUAUACUGUCUCCCUACUUUAAUCAGUGAAACUGAUCUCCCCGUGAAGAAGCGGGGAUAAUCCUAUAAGACGAGAAGACCCCAUGGAGCUUUAAACUCAGUAUCACCUGCUACUUUUAAAACCUUUAAACUACGCAACACUGACUACUAGUUUUCGGUUGGGGUGACCACGGAGUAAAACAAAACCUCCGCAAUGAAAGGAACUAACCUCCUAACCUAAGAGCCACAUCUCUAAGAAUCAACAAACUGACUUAACUGACCCAAUUUAUUUGAUCAACGAACCAAGUUACCCUGGGGAUAACAGCGCAAUCCAUUUCAAGAGCUCAUAUCGACAAAUGGGUUUACGACCUCGAUGUUGGAUCAGGGUAUCCAAGUGGCGCAGCCGCUACUAACGGUUCGUUUGUUCAACGAUUAAA
rnacentral:rRNA from 1 species